rnacentral:rRNA from 1 species
UACAGGGGGGGCAAGCGUUGUUCGGAAUUACUGGGCGUAAAGGGUCUGUAGGUGGCCAACUAAGUCAGACGUGAAAUCCCUCAGCUUAACUGGGGAACUGCGUCUGAUACUGGAUGGCUUGAGUGUGGGAGAGGAAUGCGGAAUUCCAGGUGUAGCGGUGAAAUGCGUAGAUAUCGGGAGGAACACCGGUGGCGAAGGCGGUUCUCUGGGCCUGUACUGACGCUGAGGAGCGAAAGCGUGGGGAGCGAACAGG